rnacentral:rRNA from 1 species
AUUGAACGCUGGCGGUAUGCCUUACACAUGCAAGUCGAACGGCAGCACGGGAGCAAUCCUGGUGGCGAGUGGCGAACGGGUGAGUAAUAUAUCGGAACGUGCCCAGUCGUGGGGGAUAACGCAGCGAAAGCUGUGCUAAUACCGCAUACGAUCUAAGAAUGAAAGCGGGGGAUCGCAAGACCUCGCGCGAUUGGAGCGGCCGAUAUCAGAUUAGCUAGUUGGUGGGGUAAAGGCCCACCAAGGCGACGAUCUGUAGCUGGUCUGAGAGGACGACCAGCCACACUGGAACUGAGACACGGUCCAGACUCCUACGGGAGGCAGCAGUGGGGAAUUUUGGACAAUGGGCGCAAGCCUGAUCCAGCAAUGCCGCGUGCAGGAUGAAGGCCUUCGGGUUGUAAACUGCUUUUGUACGGAACGAAACGGCCCUUUCUAAUACAGGGGGCUAAUGACGGUACCGUAAGAAUAAGCACCGGCUAACUACGUGCCAGCCGCCGCUGUAACAC